rnacentral:rRNA from 1 species
GACGAACGCUGGCGGCGUGCCUAACACAUGCAAGUCGAGCGGAGUCGAUCGACGGAAGCCUUCGGGCGGAAGAUGGUUGACUUAGCGGCGGAUGGGUGAGUAACGCGUGGGCAACCUGCCUCGAAGACCGGGAUAACAGCCCGAAAGGGCUGCUAAUACCGGAUGUGGUCAAGGAUCCGCAUGGAUUUUUGAUUAAAGGGGAAACCCGUUUCGAGAUGGGCCCGCGUCCUAUCAGCUAGUUGGUGAGGUAAAAGCUCACCAAGGCGACGACGGGUAGCCGGCCUGAGAGGGUGACCGGCCACACUGGAACUGAGACACGGUCCAGACUCCUACGGGGGGGCAGCAGUGGGGAAUCUUCCACAAUGGGCGAAAGCCUGAUGGAGCGACGCCGCGUGAGCGAAGAAGGCCUUCGGGUUGUAAGCUCUGUCUGGAGGGACGAAGGAAGUGACGGUACCUCCGGAGGAAGCCACGGCUAACUACGUGCCAGCAGCCGCGGUAAGGCUACGUAGA